UACGAAGGGGGCUAGCGUUGCUCGGAAUCACUGGGCGUAAAGGGCGCGUAGGCGGCCAUUCAAGUCGGAGGUGAAAGCCCAGGGCUCAACCCUGGAAUUGCCUUCGAUACUGUUUGGCUCGAGACCGGAAGAGGUAAGUGGAACUGCGAGUGUAGAGGUGAAAUUCGUAGAUAUUCGCAAGAACACCAGUGGCGAAGGCGGCUACUGGUCCGGUU
rnacentral:rRNA from 1 species